rnacentral:rRNA from 1 species
AUUGAACGCUGGCGGCAGGCCUAACACAUGCAAGUCGAGCGAGCGGCGGACGGGUGAGUAAUGUCUGGGAAACUGCCUGAUGGAGGGGGAUAACUACUGGAAACGGUAGCUAAUACCGCAUACCAUCAGAUGUGCCCAGAUGGGAUUAGCUAGUCGGUGGGGUGACGGCCCACCUAGGCGACGAACCCUAGCGGGUCUGAGAGGAUGACCAGCAACACGGGAACUGAGACUCGGUCCAGACUCCUACGGGAGGCAGCAGGGGGGAAUAUUGCACAAUGGGCGAAAGCCUGAUGCAGCCAUGCCGCGUGUGUGAAGAGGGCCUUCGGGUUGUAAAGCACUUUCAGCGGGGAAGCGUUACCCGCAGAGGAAGCACCGGCUAACGCCGUGCCAGCCGCCGCGGUAAUUC